UACGUAGGGGGCAAGCGUUGUCCGGAAUUAUUGGGCGUAAAGAGCGCGUUAGGCGGCCGUUCACGUCGGGUGUGAAAGCUCGGGGCUCAACCCUGAGAGGUCAUUCGAUACGGAUCGGCUAGAGGCAGGUAGGGGGAAAGUGGAAUUCCUGGUGUAGCGGUGAAAUGCGCAGAUAUCAGGAGGAACACCGGUGGCGAAGGCGAGUCUCUGGACGACUCCUGACACUGAGGCACGGAAAGCUGGGGGGAGCAAACAGG
rnacentral:rRNA from 1 species